GACGAACGCUGGCGGCGUGCUUAACACAUGCAAGUCGAACGGUAAGGCUCCAGCUUGCUGGGGUACACGAGUGGCGAACGGGUGAGUAACACGUGGGUGACCUGCCCUGCACUUCGGGAUAAGCCUGGGAAACUGGGUCUAAUACCGGAUAGGACCAUGGUGUGGAUGCUGUGGUGGGAAGUUUUUUCGGUGUGGGAUGGGCCCGCGGCCUAUCAGCUUGUUGGUGGGGUAAUGGCCUACCAAGGCGGCGACGGGUAGCCGGCCUGAGAGGGUGGACGGCCACAUUGGGACUGAGACACGGCCCAG
rnacentral:rRNA from 1 species